AGCAGCCGCGGUAAUUCCAGCUCCAAUAGCGUAUAUUAAAGUUGCUGCAGUUAAAAAGCUCGUAGUUGAAUUUCGGGACUAAUAUGUCGGUCGUGCCUCGGUACGUACUGGUUUAUUGGUUUCUCCUUUCUGAAGAACCAUGAUGUCAUUUAUUUGGUGUCGUGGGGAAUCAGGACUGUUACUUUGAAAAAUUAGAGUGUUUAAAGCAGGCUCACGCUUGAAUACAUUAGCAUGGAAUAAUGAAAUAGGACGUUUGAUUCUAUUUUGUUGGUUUCUAGGAUCGACGUAAUGAUUAAUAGGGAUAGUUGGGGGCAUUAGUAUUCAAUUGUCAGAGGUGAAAUUCUUGGAUUUAUUGAAGACUAACUACUGCGAAAGCAUUUGCCAAGGAUGUUUUCAUUAAUCAAGAACGAAAGUUAGGGGAUCGAAGACGAUCAGAUACCGUCGUAGUCUUAACCAUAAACUAUGCCGACUAGGGAUCGGAUGAUGUUAAUUUUU
rnacentral:rRNA from 1 species